CGAUCCCACACAGUCAUUCUCAGCAGUUCAGCUUCAAUAACCAGCCCAUUACCAUGCUGGAUACAUUUUUUUAACCGCAGCAAAAUACUGAUUUCUACCUGACCCUCCCAUGUACAACACCACACUGCUCUUCAGCAUAAGCCAGCUCCAGGUGGGCACUGCCAUAAAAAGCGCUGUUCUCGCCUGCGAGUCUGGGGGUGCUCUCGGAACACGCGUGUUCAACAAAGAUCAUCUGCUCAGCAGGCGCUCCAUACUGCCCCAUUAAUGCUUACAUACAUUUCUUACAUCUGUACUUCAAAAAACUCUUGCACAAUUCUAAUGGAGGUAUUUGAGUAAGAAGAAGGAUUUUUUUUCCCUCAAGGAAGAAAACAAAAUGAAACCAAAAACAAUCCCUAAUAUUUAUGUCAGCGCAAGAAUGGAUCAAUGGAUCAGAGCCAAAACAGUCCUAAGAGGAAAGCAAUAGUCUCUUUUCCUGUUAAUGAACAGUAUGUUGCUACAAAUUCACGUAGGCUUUGAUUUAAUAAACACAAAUGGAUGAAUGUGCUUACGGGAUGUCAUCCCCUUUAGGCUUGAAAUCACUGACAUGGAAGAAUUGCCACACUUCAGUGAAUUGAGCAGUACUCCCUACUCUUUCAAAGAUUGCUCAUUGUGGCAAAACAGAAAUGAAAAAUGGAAUUUAAUUUUAUAACUAAUUCUUGUGCCUUU